UUGCACCUGUGAAGGGCUCAGCAGGGGACAUAAGUCGAUUUUGCAGGUAAUCGUCCCCUGUACAGUCCCGUAUCCGAUACCAAUCGGAUUUUAACAUCUCCU
rnacentral:sRNA from 12 species